GUCCACGCUGUAAACGAUGUCGAUUUGGAGUUUGUGCCAUUAUGAGCGUGGGUUCCGAAGCUAACGCGAUAAAUCGACCGCCUGGGGAGUACGGCCGCAAGGUUAAACUCAAAUGAAUUGACGGGGGCCCGCACAAGCGGUGGAGCAUGUGGUUUAAUUCGAUGCAACGCGAAGAACCUUACCUGGGCUUGACAUGUGCCGGACGCCCGCGGAGACGUGGGUUCCCUUCGGGGCCGGUUCACAGGUGGUGCAUGGUCGUCGU
rnacentral:rRNA from 1 species